rnacentral:lncRNA from 10 species
AUUGCCCAAAUCCUUUAGCUUCCAACAAAAUGAAGUCAUAAUUUCACUAUUAUCUUUGCAAACAGAUGACAGAGUCUGAGAGAAUGUCUCCAGGGGCCCUCCCCCAUGUCGAGCAGGUGUCUUGCAGCCCAUAACUUUACAAAGUUGUUUGAACAGUGGCUCUCUCCCUGCUCUUGUUCAUUAUAUGGGGUCAGGGUGUGGGAAGAGGCUUGGGGUGCAGGGUGCUGAGGAACAAAGGACAGGCUCCAACCUGUGACAUGCAGCAUGGCACCACCCCGUGGAAUAACGAGCCUGGGUUCUCCCAGUUAGAGCACUACCUGGCUUCCUGAAUAGCUACAUGGCCCCUGCGGGAGGAACAGGACAUUCUGAAGAUGUACUGCUUGGAUAUGAACGUCUCCUUUUCAUUGGAAGACGGGAGCGAGUUGUUUGAAAAGAUCUGAACUGAACAAAAAGAAACAACUAGAGUACAUCCAUCCCUAAAUCAAUGUCCCCGAAGGCAUGCUGCGGAACAGUGCAGACCCUCCCGGGAAGCCACCGUGUGUGCCCCAAAUAUUCCUGCAAUGACAGCAUCUCUGAGGGCUGAAAAAAAUCUUGUCCUCUGGAAUCAGGCUCAUGCCAUUAAUUCCAGCAACUUGGGAGGCUGAGGCAGGAGCAUUGCUUGAGGGCAGGAGUUUGAGAGCAGCUUGGGCAACACAGUUGAGAGCAGCUUGGGCAACACAGUGAGACCCCCAGAUCUCUACAAACAAAUGUUUUUAAUUAGCUGAGAGUCCCAGCUAUUCAGGAGACUGAGGCAGGUGGAUUACUUGAGCCCAUGAGUUCGAGGCUGCAGUGAGCUAUGAUUGUGCCACUGCACUCCAGCCUGGGGGACAGAGUGAGAUCCAAGAAAUGAAAGGAAAGGAAAAAGGAAAAGAAAGGAAGAAGGAAGGAAGGAAGGAAGGAGAGGAAAGAAAGAAUGGAAGAAAAGAAAGGAAGGAAGGAAAGGAGGGAAGGAAGGAAGGA